UACGUAGGGGGCAAGCGUUGUCCGGAAUCAUUGGGCGUAAAGCGCGUGUAGGCGGCUCGAUAAGUCUGCUGUGAAAGUCCAAGGCUCAACCUUGGGAUGCCGGUGGAUACUGUCGAGCUCGAGUCCGGAAGAGGAGUGUGGAAUUCCUGGUGUAGCGGUGAAAUGCGCAGAUAUCAGGAGGAACACCAAUGGCGAAGGCAGCACUCUGGGACGUGACUGACGCUGAGACGCGAAAGCGUGGGGAGUAAACAGG
rnacentral:rRNA from 1 species